GAUGAACGCUGGCGGCGUGCUUAACACAUGCAAGUCGAACGGUGAAAGCGGAGCUUGCUCUGCUGGAUCAGUGGCGAACGGGUGAGUAACACGUGAGCAAUCUGCCCCUGACUCUGGGAUAAGCGCUGGAAACGGCGUCUAAUACCGGAUACGAGCUGCGAAGGCAUCUUCAGCAGCUGGAAAGAACUUCGGUCAGGGAUGAGCUCGCGGCCUAUCAGCUAGUUGGUGAGGUAACGGCUCACCAAGGCGUCGACGGGUAGCCGGCCUGAGAGGGUGACCGGCCACACUGGGACUGGGACACGGCCCAGACUCCUGCGGGAGGCAGCAGGGGGGAAUAUUGCACAAUGGGCGAAAGCCUGAUGCAGCAACGCCGCGUGAGGGACGACGGCCUUCGGGUUGUAAACCUCUUUUAGCAGGGAAGAAGCGAAAGUGACGGUACCUGCAGAAAAAGCGCCGGCUAACUACGUGCCAGCAGCCGCCGUAA
rnacentral:rRNA from 1 species